AGCCAAAGAUGACUUGUUUGGUUCUAGAAGCAAAGCGUGGCACUCUUCAGGAUCUCCCUAACACGAUAUGCCGAAGAUCAAAUGUUUGCCGGCUUCUGGAAUGACAGGCCGAGAGCACCUUGCCCACACCUUCUCCGGGAAGCACAGCGGUGGAGCAGUUAGGAGAUGAGCUCUGCAAUCUGUACCCACCCAGGUUCAAAUCCCUGUGUGGGCCCUGGGGCUGGCUGCCUCACUUCUGCAAGCCUUGCUCUUGGAAGGACAUUAAUAAGGCCCGUCUCCUGGGUUUCUGGCAGGAUUAUGCAAGAAAAUGCUUGAAGAUGCUCUGUACCUGAUGAUAAGUCCUCGACUCCUCCUGGGGAGAUCUACAGGGAGAGCAGUCUAUGGAAUACUGACACGAUCCUUUUAGGGUGUGUCUCCCUCAGUGACCAGUUCCUGGAGAACAAGAGCUGUGUCUCAUCCACGCGCCUCCUGAGCACAUGGCAUACAGCAGGUGUUCCCUACGUGUGUGCUGAAUUGAACAGGACCAGGGGAGGGAGAAGGCAAGCUGUGUCCUAUGGGUAAGGGUUUAAAAUCCUCUAAAUUAUACCCUCUUAAAAACAGAUCUCCAUAUGGACAAUGAACAGAAGGGAAUAAAGUGAAAACACAAAAUUA